GAUGAACGCUGGCGGCGUGCCUAAUACAUGCAAGUCGAGCGAACAGACGAGGAGCUUGCUUCUCUGAUGUUAGCGGCGGACGGGUGAGUAACACGUGGAUAACCUACCUAUAAGACUGGGAUAACUUCGGGAAACCGGAGCUAAUACCGGAUAAUAUUUUGAACCGCAUGGUUCAAUAGUGAAAGACGGUUUUGCUGUCACUUAUAGAUGGAUCCGCGCUGCAUUAGCUAGUUGGUAAGGUAACGGCUUACCAAGGCAACGAUGCAUAGCCGACCUGAGAGGGUGAUCGGCCACACUGGAACUGAGACACGGUCCAGACUCCUACGGGAGGCAGCAGUAGGGAAUCUUCCGCAAUGGGCGAAAGCCUGACGGAGCAACGCCGCGUGAGUGAUGAAGGUCUUCGGAUCGUAAAACUCUGUUAUUAGGGAAGAACAAAUGUGUAAGUAACUGUGCACAUCUUGACGGUACCUAAUCAGAAAGCCACGGCUAACUACGUG
rnacentral:rRNA from 1 species